AUGAUGUUUGGAGUGGCAAACGCGUGCUUCGGCCGGAGCAAGGCACAACGCGGAGGGGAGCAGACGCGAGCGACGCAGCAUGGCGCGCGCACCGAUGCGGCCGACCGAAGCGAGGCACCGCACGCGCGGCGCGUGCGCGGACGGACGAUCGGCGUUGCAACGGUGAUGAUGACGAAGGCGGCGAGGCCGACGACGAGGACGCGCCGUCCCGCGCGGCCGCUCCGGGGGCGGGUCGAAGUCGAGCCCUCGAGCGCUACCGGAGAGACGGCGCGACGCCGCGGCGGUGAUGGCGAAGAUGGUCCCGCCCGGACUGCGAAACCAGCAGCAGCGUGGUAG
rnacentral:rRNA from 1 species